rnacentral:rRNA from 1 species
CCUACGGGAGGCAGCAGUGGGGAAUAUUGCACAAUGGGGGAAACCCUGAUGCAGCGACGCCGCGUGAGUGAAGAAGUAUCUCGGUAUGUAAAGCUCUAUCAGUAGGGAAGAAAAUGACGGUACCUGACUAAGAAGCCCCGGCUAACUACGUGCCAGCAGCCGCGGCAAUACGUAGGGGGCAAGCGUUAUCCGGAUUUACUGGGUGUAAAGGGAGCGUAGGCGGCGCUGCAAGUCCGGAGUGAAAGCCCAAGGCUUAACCAUAGUACUGCUCAGGAAACUGUGGAGCUUGAGUGCAGGAGGGGCAGGCGGAAUUCCUAGUGUAGCGGUGAAAUGCGUAGAUAUUAGGAGGAACACCGGCGGCGAAGGCGGCCUGCUGGACCGUAACUGACGUUGAGGCUCGAAAGCGUGGGGAGCAAACAGGAUUAGAUACCCGAGUAGUC